rnacentral:snoRNA from 1 species
UGCAGAUGAUGUAAAAGAAUAUUUGCUAUCUGAGAGAUGGUGAUGACAUUUUA